AAAUUGAAGAGUUUGAUCAUGGCUCAGAUUGAACGCUGGCGGCAGGCCUAACACAUGCAAGUCGAACGGUAGCACAGAGAGCUUGCUCUCGGGUGACGAGUGGCGGACGGGUGAGUAAUGUCUGGGAAACUGCCUGAUGGAGGGGGAUAACUACUGGAAACGGUAGCUAAUACCGCAUAACGUCGCAAGACCAAAGAGGGGGACCUUCGGGCCUCUUGCCAUCAGAUGUGCCCAGAUGGGAUUAGCUAGUAGGUGGGGUAACGGCUCACCUAGGCGACGAUCCCUAGCUGGUCUGAGAGGAUGACCAGCCACACUGGAACUGAGACACGGUCCAGACUCCUACGGGAGGCAGCAGUGGGGAAUAUUGCACAAUGGGCGCAAGCCUGAUGCAGCCAUGCCGCGUGUAUGAAGAAGGCCUUCGGGUUGUAAAGUACUUUCAGCGGGGAGGAAGGUGUUGUGGUUAAUAACCGCAGCAAUUGACGUUACCCGCAGAAGAAGCACCGGCUAACUCCGUGCCAGCAGCCGCGGUAAUACGGAGGGUGCAAGCGUUAAUCGGAAUUACUGGGCGUAAAGCGCACGCAGGCGGUCUGUCAAGUCGGAUGUGAAAUCCCCGGGCUCAACCUGGGAACUGCAUUCGAAACUGGCAGGCUAGAGUCUUGUAGAGGGGGGUAGAAUUCCAGGUGUAGCGGUGAAAUGCGUAGAGAUCUGGAGGAAUACCGGUGGCGAAGGCGGCCCCCUGGACAAAGACUGACGCUCAGGUGCGAAAGCGUGGGGAGCAAACAGGAUUAGAUACCCUGGUAGUCCACGCCGUAAACGAUGUCGACUUGGAGGUUGUGCCCUUGAGGCGUGGCUUCCGGAGCUAACGCGUUAAGUCGACCGCCUGGGGAGUACGGCCGCAAGGUUAAAACUCAAAUGAAUUGACGGGGGCCCGCACAAGCGGUGGAGCAUGUGGUUUAAUUCGAUGCAACGCGAAGAACCUUACCUACUCUUGACAUCCAGAGAACUUUCCAGAGAUGGAUUGGUGCCUUCGGGAACUCUGAGACAGGUGCUGCAUGGCUGUCGUCAGCUCGUGUUGUGAAAUGUUGGGUUAAGUCCCGCAACGAGCGCAACCCUUAUCCUUUGUUGCCAGCGGUCCGGCCGGGAACUCAAAGGAGACUGCCAGUGAUAAACUGGAGGAAGGUGGGGAUGACGUCAAGUCAUCAUGGCCCUUACGAGUAGGGCUACACACGUGCUACAAUGGCGCAUACAAAGAGAAGCGAACUCGCGAGAGCAAGCGGACCUCAUAAAGUGCGUCGUAGUCCGGAUUGGAGUCUGCAACUCGACUCCAUGAAGUCGGAAUCGCUAGUAAUCGUAGAUCAGAAUGCUACGGUGAAUACGUUCCCGGGCCUUGUACACACCGCCCGUCACACCAUGGGAGUGAGUUGCAAAAGAAGUAGGUAGCUUAACCUUCGGGAGGGCGCUUACCACUUUGUGAUUCAUGACUGGGGUGAAGUCGUAACAAGGUAACCGUAGGGGAACCUGCGGUUGGAUCACCUCCUUA
rnacentral:rRNA from 1 species